rnacentral:tRNA from 1 species
UAUUAAUAUUAAUUAAUUAUUUUGGCAGAAAAGUGCAUUGAAUUUAGAUUUCAAAAAAGUGAAUAUAUUUACAAGUAAUAC